rnacentral:rRNA from 1 species
AACGAACGCUGGCGGCAGGCUUAACACAUGCAAGUCGAACGCAUCGCAAGAUGAGUGGCGGACGGGUGAGUAACACGUGGGAACGUACCUUUUGGUUCGGAAUAACGCAGAGAAAUUUGCGCUAAUACCGAAUGAGCCCUUCGGGGGAAAGAUUUAUCGCCGAAAGAUCGGCCCGCGUUGGAUUAGGUAGUUGGUGUGGUAAAGGCGCACCAAGCCUACGAUCCAUAGCUGGUCUGAGAGGAUGAUCAGCCACACUGGGACUGAGACACGGCCCAGACUCCUACGGGAGGCAGCAGUGGGGAAUCUUGCGCAAUGGGCGAAAGCCUGACGCAGCCAUGCCGCGUGAAUGAUGAAGGUCUUAGGAUUGAAAAAUUCUUUUACCAGGGACGAUAAUGACGGUACCCACAGAAGAAGCCCCGGCUAACUCCGUGCCAGCCGCCGCGGUAACAC